GAUGAACGCUGGCGGCGUGCCUAAUACAUGCAAGUCGAGCGAACGGACGAGAAGCUUGCUUCUCUGAUGUUAGCGGCGGACGGGUGAGUAACACGUGGAUAACCUACCUAUAAGACUGGGAUAACUUCGGGAAACCGGAGCUAAUACCGGAUAAUAUUUUGAACCGCAUGGUUCAAAAGUGAAAGACGGUCUUGCUGUCACUUAUAGAUGGAUCCGCGCUGCAUUAGCUAGUUGGUAAGGUAACGGCUUACCAAGGCAACGAUGCAUAGCCGACCUGAGAGGGUGAGCGGCCACACUGGAACUGAGACACGGACCAGACUCCUACGGGAGGCAGCAGUAGGGAAUCUUCCGCAAUGGGCGAAAGCCUGACGGAGCAACGCCGCGUGAGUGAUGAAGGUCGUCGGAUCGUAAAACUCUGUUAUUAGGGAAGAACAAAUGUGUAAGUAACUGUGCACAUCUUGACGGUACCUAAUCAGAAAGCCACGGCUAACUACGUC
rnacentral:rRNA from 1 species